rnacentral:rRNA from 1 species
CCUACGGGUGGCAGCAGUGAGGAAUAUUGGUCAAUGGGCGUAAGCCUGAACCAGCCAAGUCGCGUGAGGGAUGAAGGUUCUAUGGAUCGUAAACCUCUUUUAUAAGGGAAUAAAGUGUGGGACGUGUCCUAUUUUGUAUGUACCUUAUGAAUAAGGAUCGGCUAACUCCGUGCCAGCAGCCGCGGUCAUACGGAGGAUCCGAGCGUUAUCCGGCUUUAUUGGGUUUAAAGGGUUGGUAGGCGGCCUUUUAAGUCAGCGGUGAAAGUCUGUGGCUCAACCAUAGAAUUGCCGUUGAAACUGGGGGGCUUGAGUAUGUUAGAGGCAGGCGGAAUGCGUGGGGUAGCGGUGAAAUGCUUAGAUAUCACGCAGAACCCCGAUUGCGAAGGCAGCCUGCCAAGCCAUGACUGACGCUGAUGCACGAAAGCGUGGGGAUCAAACAGGAUUAGAUACCCCUGUAGUC